UGACCUGAGGUCAUUAUCUUUAAUGACCUUUGGCACUUAAUUAUUGUUUGAUGUUAAUACUUAAUUACUGCCAUUAAUAUUUAAUUAAGAAUUGAAUAAGAUAAAUAGAAAACCUAAUCAUUUUAGGUUUUGAUUGAUCUUUGGGAUUGAUUGACAACCAGUGGUUACUUGGCAUGAUAUGCUCCCUGGUUAUAGAUUAUUUCAUAUAAAUAAUCUUUAUUGUCUGAUAGCUACACAACCUUGCUUAAUGAAGAUGAUAAAAUUUGCUUAGAAGUAAUCUAUGUUUUGAUAGCUAGAUUAGUUUGUUUCUAUACCAUGUAGGUAAGUUGUACUCGAGGUAGUUAUGUUUGUUGUUAUCAUCCAAGAACAUGUAAUCUGUCUUUAUCAUGUCAUAAGCAUCUCAUUGAUCAUGCAUAUGCACUUUUACGUAUAGAAUACGCUCCGGAAGAAUCAGAUCCUCAGUGGGUCACUUCCGAGUUUGAAGAACCAUCUGGUUUUGCUGAGUUGCCGAACUUCCCUUCCGGUCAAGGCAAGCCCCGGACAUUAAACCCUAUCCUUGUAUUUUCAUAAAGUUAUUUAUAUCACUUGAGUUAAUAUGAUGCAUUAGGUGAAUAGGAGUUGAGUGAAUCCUAUUUGCUGCAUUAUCUACCUUGAUGAUUUCCAUAUUAACCUUGAUACCUGCUUUAUGAAAAUGCUUAGUAUGCUUAGCCCUGCUUAUUAGAUAAGUUUUCAAAUGAGAACGUUUGAAGGGUCGUUGUGGAAUACUCUUAUAGUUAAUGAUGUUCAAUUUGAGACCGGUCGGUGGACUUGCUUUAAGAAUGGAGUCUUAAAGUAGUGUCUCCAACUGAGUCGAUUAAGGACCGUACCGUUGAUUGGCCUGUUGUGAUUGAGACCUUUGAGUACAGCCCACAUGCGCUGGUAAGCCUUACCUAUAGCUAUUCCGAUACUUGAGAACGGCUAACCGCGUACUGGGAGUGGAAAGAUGGCGAGAGUAGCGUGUACCCACCUUACGGAUCUGAGAUGACCGGGAAACAUCUAGAUUGGCUGUAGGAUGGUGGUGUACUGUACUCUCGGGUGACGCUGGACCCGUUCUUGUAUGGGAGGAUCUAUAGAAAAGGUUGACAUAUGCAAGAUUAAGUUCUACAUAUGUCGUGUGGUACUGAAUCCCCAGCUGGGUUUAAUCGAUUCGAAUCGCCGUGUUUCCUCGGAUAUGGAGCCUCAAUCCUCGUACCAUCAUCGUAGUAAUAAGUGAAUCUUUGGUGUAAGAAAGAGAUGAUUUGCUUAUGAAAGUUGGAUAAUGAUCUUGGCUAGUUAUAAGUGAUAAUCUUGGGUUAAAACUUGAAAGUAGGCUUUACUCUUAGUAAGCUUUUCUGCAAAAGAAAUGCUUUAUCUUGAUAAAGCUUUACCUUGAAUCCCUAUAGCCUGCAUACCUGAGUCUUCACCUCUUUUCUAGUCGGUUAAGUCUUGUUGAGUACUUUUGUACUCAGGGUUUUAUAACCCCUGUUGCAGGUGCUGACUUAGUCUACUAAUGGAGGUCAUGUCGGUGGGCGCGACAUGAUUUAUCCACCUCUUCUACCUUAGAAGCUUCACCUAAGAUGCUUCCGCUACUCUAUACACCUUUUGGAAAUUUAGUUAAGUUUAUACUUCAUCAUAUGUUGUAAAUUAAGUUAUAAAUCUUCCGCACUCUGAUGUAAGUUAUUUUUGUAACAAAUGUUGUAAUGUUGUGGUAACUCCAUGUUGAUCCUGUACGAGUUAAAAUGUGGAUGAUUCGGGGUCCUCCGAGGGCACCCGACAGACUAUCCAAGUUAUAUGACUCUCAUGUGCAGUAGUCAGAGGUCUUAAGGACAAUGUCAAGUGCAUGUGGGCCAUAUAAUUAGGGUGGUUCUGCCACAAAUAUAACAAUACUUUGUUCAUUUUGUUUUUCUUUUCUUUUUUGAGUAUCCGACAAAUGCUUCUUAGGCAACAUCUAAUAUAUUCAGAUAACUAUAUUGAAUUAUAAAUUUAUAAUGCUAGACCCUAGCACUAUACGAGCAUAGAGAAUACACAAAACUAUUAAGAAAAAUAUAAAAAAACUAAUCUAUCAUGGGCUGUUGGUGUAUUGCUUACUGUGAUGGCAUGUGUAUUAUCCGAUGUUUCCCUACCGUUAUGUAGAAUAGGACUAGAAAAAAGAGUAAUCUAUAACUUUGACUAAUUUGUCUUAGAUCUUCAAAUAUUUAUUAUACCAAAUAAAAAAUUAUAUAUACUAAUUACCUAGAUUGUCAAGAGCCCCCAAGGUUCGUGGGCCCCGACGGUUGCACCGGCUGCCCCUCCCUAGAGCCGGCCCUGUGUGCCUGCGACGGGCGGUGGCGGUGGGGCUGGGCGCACCACGUGGGAAUCUCGCGCAUCGCCCAUCGGAACACGAAAGAAGAACGCCUGUCAACGCAGCAGUCCGCGGCUAGCCCGCACGCCUCGGCUGUUUUACGAGCAACAGCCAACACAGGCACGCUGACUCUUCUCGGGCCUUGUUUAGUUCCAAAAAAUUAUGCAAAACAGGUACUGUAGCACUUUCGUUUGUUUGUGAUAAAUAUUGUUCAAUUAUGGACUGACUAGACUCAAAAGAUUCAUCUCAUCAAUUUCGACCAAACUAUGCAAUUAGUUUUUAUUUUCGUCUAUAUUUAAUACUCCAUGCAUGCGUCUAAAGAUUCGAUGUGACGGAGAAUCUGAAAAAUUUUGCAAAAUUUUUUAAGACUAAACAAGGCCUCGGUCCAUGCGUCGCCUCUUUUCCCUCCACAAAAUUUUGAAACCGGGCCGUUCCGAUCCGCGGCAUGCAGCGCGGCUCGCAUAGUUUUCUUUUUUUUUUUAAAAAAAAAGGGGGGGUUGAACAUGCUCCUGCUACUUGCAUUGUCACGACCGGAUCCACGUCCGAUGCGCACACCCAUGGUCCAUAUGCGGAAGCAAAUCCGAGUACGAGCUGCGGGCGUUUUUAGAUGUGUGGGUGUGGGCGCGGUUGUCACUUUGCUGUGCAGGUAUCCGGGAUGCAUUGAUCACAUCAGAUCCACUAAAUACGGUGCUUAUUAUUAUUAUGGGACGGGGGAGAGAUAAAGAUUGUGAGGGUCCAUGCACGUACGGUGCCACUUUAAACGCAUUACUUGCUAGCAAGGUCUAUUUAAUCACAGCGAAUUAUCGCAAUCAUAUGGAAUUACUAUUAUUUACAGGAUGUUUGGGACUGCUCCGCUCUAUAUUUUUUAGCCAAACGGUUUUAGCUUUAUGUACUCUCGAGAAAAAGAGAGAAGUUGUGAGAGCACCUAAAGAGAUACUCCACAAACUCUAGUUUUUUUAGAGCUGCUCCAUAGCGUAGUUUGGCCCUGUUUGGUUCCACCAACUAAAUUUUAGCUAGCUAAACUUUAGUCACUUUAGUAACUAAAGUGACAAACACAUUGACUAAAAAAUACUAAAAUAAUUUAGUUCUAUUAGUCACCCAAGAGUAACUAAAAUAAUUUUAGCUAGCUAAAAUUUAGCAAGGGAAACCAAACACCCAGGGCCGUCCCUAGGCAUGUGCGGGAUGAGCAACCGUACAGGGCCUCCAAAUAUAGAGUAUAGUAUAUAUACUAUGUAUGUAUUCUAGACAAGCAUGUACUGCUUCGGCCUUUGGACCUCUAGCAAAGCGGUGUGCACAACAAUAGUCUAAUAAAAAAUAUCUUGUUGGCCGGCGUCUAGACUAGACGUCAUUCAUUUUCAGUUGGCAAUUGCCAACCCUAAACUGAAUAAGAUCGCAAAGCAGUAUACGUCUCCUUUUCUACCGUCGCCGCCAUCACCUGAUACCCUAUCGGCCGCCGGCACGAGCACUGUAUCGCGACCUGAUCGUGAGUGACCAGGCGUGAUAAAUUAACGGCCCUGAAGGUAAUAUUAAUCAUUCAUAUAUAUAUUUUUAAUUCAAUCACAGCACCAAGCCGUGAACAAUAAUAAGUAGUGGGUCGAUCUCUAAAUUUUGUUCUUUUGAUCUAGACACCUACUAGAAUAGUGUUCAAAGAUUGAAACUAUGUAUUCUGCAAAUUGUUCUAGAAAAUUUGAAUUGAGGUGGCAAAAGCGCAAGAAAAACAAAGAAUAGAGGAAUUAAUCCAAUCUCAGGAAGGAGCUAUAGAUAGGUUUGUAACAAAAUGGUCACAAGUGUCAUCUAAUAAUCCAACACCUGACCAGGGGCAAGUAAUUGACAAUAAUGUUGAUAAUAAUCCUAUAGAUCCUCUAAAAUAAAUAUUGAAGUUGAGGAAGAUCUCUCCGACAAUACAAAUACUUAGAUAGACAAUAACAGUGAGGACUUGAAUGCUGCUAAUUUUUUUAGUCUAAUAUAUUUGAUCCAAGAUAUUAAGGCUCCUUUUUUUAGUUUGGUACAAGGCCUCUAGUUUCCCUGGGACGGCCCUGAAACACCCCCUUAGAUUAUUACGAACUAUAAUAAUAGGAGUAUCUGGAUCCACAUAUUGGAUUCUGUUUAGUUCAAGUGAAAAAUUAUAAUCAACAAAAAACAAGUCCAAGCUGGAUUGUAAUAUUAUUGUAAUAUGAUAUUUUCAUCAUUAUAAUAAUCCACCUUACAAUCUAGCUUGUUUCGAGCAUAAUUAGAUUAUUUUAGCUUAUCAUUAUGAUCAAGCUUACGAGCCUUUUCCACGCAGCUAGCUUUUUUCUUACAUAUAAAUUAUUUUUAAAUAUAUGGCAAGUGAAAAAAAAGAUUGUAUCUCUAAAAGUUUGCCAUUUGAGUUUGAUAAAAACGAAACACUCAUACACCAACGUACUGAUCAUGCUUGCAUGGGUGAAGUUGUAUGGACUGCAUGCGGAGAGCACGCCGCUUUGCGUCUGCUCUGCGUGCUUGCUGGCCUAGCUUUUGCAGGAUGGCAAACUCGAUGACAAGUUGAAACUGACAAGCAUAUAUGCGCGGGUGGAGGUAGGAAAUGACAAGUGAUCAAAUUUUAACAAGUCAUUUGCCAAACUAUUGGAGGGGUGAUUUUUAGUUUUGCUAAAAAAAUAAAGGAUAGCAAGUGGGUUUCGCAAACUGUUAGAGAUGUUUAAUAGUGUAAUAUUAAGACCGUUAAGGAAAGAUACAUGAGUACUUUUGUGGCAUUAAGUUUGUUGUUAUCUUAGUCUCUAAUGAGAGUACUCGUCUGUUACUGUAGAAAAACCACUAAAAAUAUCAUGAAACAUCGAAGGGCAAAAACAUCAUUUUGUCUAGGACUUAGCAUUUACCACUAUUGUAACAGAAGUGCCAUCACAGGAAAGUAAAAAAUUGAAGGGAUGAUAAAUAUGAAAGGUGUUUAGUUUCUGUGUCAAAUAUGAAAGCAAAAGUUUUUCAUGUGUCAAAUAAUUUUUUUUCUCAUUUAACUCUCCAACUCGCUACGUCAAUUCGUUCAUGGAGGUAGCUGCAAGCACCGUGAAGAAUGGAUCAUGGCUCAGAAUCAUGGUCCGUUGGAUAUGGUUUGCAUCUUUGCAGAUUACUCACUAGCAGAUUAGGAUCCAGCAUAUAGUAGUAUAUUAGUUGAACGGUGCACGACCUCGAUCAUCACAAUUUUGUGGACUUCGUUUUGUCUGGGUAACCAGCAAACAACUCCACAAGUUAGCAUAGCAUCUAGUAAUAAAAAUUCAAUAGAUCAAAAAGGUUGCCUAAGGAAUUGUUAAACACGGGUCCUCCGCUUCAUUGUUCAAAGUAGACUCUUAUUGAAAUGUGGAACUUGACAUGGUAGUUGAUUAGGGGUGCCAUUUACACCAAAAUCCUAUGGUUAAUUAUAUACUCUUAUAAAGCUAAACCCUACUAGAUGAAUUCUCUCUUCAUGCAAGGUGUCCACAUCAUUCCUCACUAAGUGACCCACUAAAUGUUCUAUCUCUUCAUGCAAGGUGUCCACAUCAUUCCCCACUAAGUCCAUGUCAUCCCAUAUUAACUAUAAAAAUGACCAUAUCAUCUAUAUCAUGUGAAAUACUUUAAAUCUUUAAUCUAUUAACAUACAAGGCAUGUACAUACAUUAUUUGUUUCAUCACCAAAUUCUCUAUAAUGUAACCAAAUAUUAGUUUUCUUUUAUUAGCUUAGCAAUUUUUUACUAGAUAUAAUACAAUAAAAUACAUGCAAGUCAAAUUUAUAUAUAUGUAUACAUACGUAAUAUAAUAAAUAUCAUAUAGUAAUGUUAUGUAUAUAAUGAUUUAUUUUUAAGAAAAUUCCGCAGCAACGCGCGGGGAAUUCAUAUUAUGUGAAUGGUUGAACAAACACAGGGUAGACUGGGUAACCAACUCCCAAACAUCAGAUUUCAUCGGUCUGGAUCGUUCCAUUUUUGAUUCUUUGGUACCAAGAUAGUACUACUACACAAAAGAUAUUUUUUUUUAAAAAAAAAACACACGAAACUACCAUUGGUGCGCAGAAUUCAGCAUCCGGUAAUCAAAUGCUAAAACUUGUAGUACCACUAAGAUCGCUUAUCUCGAGAUUAAGAAAACAAUCGUGACGAAGUUCCUGUGCCGACUUUUGUUACAAACCGGAGACUGACGCCAAGACACUGCACGCUUUGGGUCCCCAGGUAAUGCGAUUCAGGGAUUAGAAUUUUACAAUUCCACCCGUCGUCCAUCGAGGGAGACGCCCCCGCCGUGGAACUACCGGUGCUUCACCAUUCGACAAGUGCAGAUGCCAAAUGGGUCGCCCUCAUCACUCAACUCUCAAACACCGGUGUACUUGUCGUCCCCCCCUAAAACCCUUGUCCAGUUGUCCUAUGACCGGAAAGUGCGCGCACGGAACGAGGCCGGCAUGCAGUGGCAGCCACGGCCAGUGAUCGUAUCGCGCUCUUGCGUGGCGUUUCGUCUGCUGCUGCUUGGCGUGGCGGCCUCGAGGCACCUGCCGCCGCCGCCCCGCCCGGGGUGCGAUCUCGUCGUACUCUGCAGCGAAGCCCCCUGCAACUUCUCUUGUGCAUGUUCUGAUUCGACGCCACACGGCGGCGGCAAGGAGAGCAACGAGCCAGCGGCGGCGGCUGCGUGCGUGGAUGAUGGAUGGCGGUGGCCCGUGGAUGCGGACAAGGCGCACGCUCUCGGCACUCCUGCUGUUCCCCCUCCCACUGCACGAUGCCGAUGGAGACGGUGCGUAUGUGUGUGCGUCCACCUCGUCUCCAUCCACAUCGUCACGUGCCGUUGCAGAGGUAUCCGAGGCCCAGCUGGGUCGAUACGCGCUCUCGCUCGCCAUCGGGGUGGACCAUGGACGGACACGAGGCCAUGAAUGAAUAAGAUACAGGGGACAGAGAGAUUGGAGAAUGGAAACGUGUGCAUGUCCAUGUCGAUCUCUCGCUCUCGAUCGGUCGGCGUGGAUGGAUCACCAGCUCCGCCGGGGACAGACAGACAGCCCCACGAACCAACAGGAGCCUGCCUGCGUUGCGUAUCCUAUGCAAUAAUUAAUCCCUCCGUUCUAGCGACUGCCGAGGUGUGGGGGCGGAAGCGGAACAGUGGGGCAAUCGGCACUGGCGAGGCGAGUAGUGGCGACUUGCCGUGCCGUGCCGUGCAUUGCAUAUGUACCACAACACGUCCGGCAUGCAUCCGCUACCAUCAACGUGACGUUCCAACUGUUGCGCUACAGUCGACCGGCCACGGCAAAGGCCAGGGCCCGUCCGUCCGGUUCGUUCCUGGCCACACCCCCCACGGUUUUCCUUCGGCUAGUAGCAGCAUGCACGGAGCAGGUUGUUAGCGGGCAGGGCCACCGCCCACCGGCUCCCCAUGCCGUGCCACGCAGGUCAACACAAACACGGACACGUCACGUCGUCACCCACCCUUACCUUAGCUUAGGACUAUCUCCGACCAUCAUCACCUAAAAUACAAAACUCAUUUGUCCUUUGGAUAGCGCUACAGGUAAAAGAUUUCAUACCAAUUUUUAGUCUUCUCCAACAACAGGACCUAAAAGACAACACUCUCUGCAAAUGGGUCUCGAGGAGAGAGGAUACCCAAAUUUAGGUUAUGUCUCUCAUGAUAUCCAAAAUGGGUCUUCUUUAUGUGUACUCUGUUGGAGGCUAUAGGUAUUGUGUUGGAGACCUAUUUUAGGUUUGGGUUUCCAAAUGAGUCUAUUGUUGGAGACAGCCUCCGAGCCUACGAUGAAGACUCGUCGAUUCAGCAAAUUUCUCCCCAGACUUUUCUCAUGUAUGUAGGCCUUGUUUAGUUGCUAAAAAGUAUUAAAUUUUUUUCAAGAUUUCUCAUUAUAUCGAGUUUUAUGGCACAUAUAUGGAGUAUUAAAUAAAAAUAAAAAUAAAAAUUAAUUAUAUAGUUUGUCUGUAAAUUAUAAGAUGAAUCUUUUGAGCCUAGUCAGUGGCGGAUCUAGGAUGAGCACAAAGGGGGGCUAAAUAGUGAAUAUUUAAGGUUAAAAUUAGAGAUUAAUAAGGAUUUAUGACUAAUUAACACUAAUAUAAUAAAUAAAUCAUACUUAUAGGGGGGCUGGAGCGCACCCAGCCAUCCCUUUGGAUCCGUCACUGAGCCUAGUUAGUCCAUGAUUGAAUAAUAAUCUCUAUACAACUAAAAAUAUACAACUAAAAAUUAUGGAAAGGACCCAUCUACCACACCCAUGGUGAAGCCACAACUCCCAUCCCUUUUAGCCAUGAUAGGCUAUCCCAUCAACCAAGGCCCACUCAUCCAUACAUGCAAAAUUAUUUUAGCGAAUUUAAAAAGUCAUAACUUUUAAACCGAAGAUAUAAAUUAAAUUCCGAUUGCACCAUUAAAUUUUUCAUAAUAAAUCCUUCAAAACAAGAUCACACAUGGAUAUAUUUAGAUAAAAUUUUAUUAAUGAAUAUUUAUCUCUACAACUAAAAAUUAUGGAAGAAACAUAGAGUAUGUGGAUUUUAAAACCCGUAACAACGUACGGGCAUUAACUUAGUUAUCAAAUAAAAAUGAAAUUGCUACAUUAUCGAAAACCAAAAAAAUUCUGAACUAAAUAAGACGAUACUCACUCAUAGGGCCUUGUUUAGUUCAAAAAAUAAUUGCAAAAUUUUUCAGAUUCACCGUCACAUCGAAUCUUGCGGCGCAUGUAUGGAGCAUUAAAUAUAGAUAACAUUUUACCUAUAAUUUGGAAGACGAAUCUUUUAAACCUAGUUAGUCCAUGAUUUAAUAAAAAUUGUCAAAUACAAAGAAAGUGCUACAAUGUUCAUUUGGUAAAAAAAUUUGGAACUGGGCUUAGCCGUAACACCGAGAUGUAUCUGGAUUUUUUUAAAAAAAACGAGAGGUACCUACUGCCGGUCAUACCAGCUCGUCAAAAGCCGGUUUUAUAAGCAUGGCUACGGGGCACGGCCCUGGUGUAAAGAAGAGCGACGAUCGGUGGUGGUACGUAGGCCGGUACGGGAACGUGUUUACGUGGCUCAACCGCUCAAGGUGGAACGCCGCGAGUCUGCGAUCUGACGCUGCCGGUGUCAACUGCCAGCGGCCGUAAAAGCCGUGUGACUUCCACGCGUGUUCCGUGCAUGUGUUCUGGACCGUGGUAUCCCAGGAGCCAUGAGGAUGCGUAAACCACAGCAGGCUCAGGCUGCCGACUGCCGUGUGAAUCGUCAAGACGACGCAAAUUAAGGGAUGAUGAUGGAGCGAGGCAAUCAACCGUGAAGAUACUAGUAGUAAACUUGGAUCUUGGUAUCCCGGAAUCCAAGGAAGGCAUGGGGUGACACCUGGCCUACAUGUCGACUCUCAUGAUAAUACUUGACACUGACAGGCAAUGCAAUUUGCGUUUCUCAGAAACGAGAAUCGGCACGCAGACAGCAACAAAUGAAACAACUGCUUCGAUGGAGAAGCGCAGCAUGCAUGUUUGCCUUUUUUCUUUUUAUUAUACAGGUGAAUCUUAGGGCCUGUUUGGUACAGCUCACAACAGCUUAUUAUGAAGCUGUUGUGAGCUGUUUUUUUUUUUGCCAAACACUUAUUUUCAAAACAGCUUCAUAGGUGAAGCUGUUUUUUCUCUCAUCUCACAAAGACAUAAGUUGGAUGAAGCUGGAAAAAAGUAGCUUAUUGCAGCUUCUCCCUCAUUUCUCUCUCUCAACUAUGCAUGAAAUAGUUGGUGAAGCUAUUUUGCCAAACACUUUUUUUAAAACAGUUCAGCUUCAUCUAGAAAGUCACUCAUGAAACUAUUUUCUAAAAAAAACAGAUUUACUAGUAAAGUUGAGUUAUGCCAAACACGCCCUUACCGUGUCAAGGACCACUUUGCAGAUAUUAUUUGUCGAGGUUAGAACUCCGAAGAUACUGUGGCAGCUGUGCAAGUGCAGCAGCAGCAACAACAACAACAGACAUUUCUGAACCUGAGUUUCAGAAACAGAGCAGGAUACAGGCCCGCCUGGGCAAGUGCAACGCCUGUUUCUCCAAUCAUAAGCGCGCGCAAAGAGUUCAUUUGCGGUUUGCUUUCUACCCUUCAGAAAAGCGAUUUAUUGUGGCAUCCUUCUCGAUUAGCUCAUUUUGGAUGGAAAAGCUCUGUUACUGGACUGAAGAACCAGAGCCCAACCAUUCGAAUCCGGAUCAUCUAUGAAUCCUAAAUAAGGGUACCACUAGUACUAGAAUAUACCGUGGCACAGAGCAAGCGAGUGCAUAGACAAGAAACUGGACAUCGGCCACAUUUGGCUUUAGAAGACAUGAAGAGGCUGUUCAGAACUGAAAAAAAAAACAAUAUCAAGGAUAUCAACUCCAAAUAAUUUUUCUUCUUAUCACAGCACAUCGUUUUGGAAAGGAUCAUUCCAGAAAUCCGUAGAUAUAUACAGAGUCCAAAUGUAAUUGCCUUGGAGUAAACUUGACAAUUCCUUACAUUUUUAGCACUCUACCACUGACAUUUUAAAGGCAAAAGCUACAAGAUAUCCUGUGCGUUAAGGAUUUCGACAAAUGCUAAGAGUAGAUGUGAGAUGUGGCGCUACGAGAGAAAGGAACAUGUAGGAGAGAAGAGUUUUAUUGGAUGACAAAUAGACCUCACAUGUCACCAUAUAUUAGGAGUGAUGUUUUUUUUCUAUUGGACAGGUCUUUAAAAAAUUUAAACCCUCAAUAUACUGUUUGGAUCGUGGGUCUGUUUGGAACACUUGGAAAAUUUUAUAUUCCUAUACAUUUUUCUUUGAAUUCAAACGGACUCAUGUGAAACUUCUACAUGUUUUUUUUUUGAAAUUUCUGCAUUACAAACACAAACAUGCCCGUCUAGUAUCGGGAUGCUCUUGGCAAACUAGAGUGCAAAACUCCCCUCGGCCGAAAUAUGCUGCGGGCUCGUGCAACGAAAGUCACAAAUAGGUAAAUCUAUAGUAUAUAAGCCACCAAGGUUUUGUAUUCCCAAGGAGGCAAGAUCAUAGCCUUGAUUUAAACUAAAUCCUAUAUUACAGAGAAUAUCAGCAAUGGGUCGCAAUCACAACAAUUUAUAUUAAAACUUCAACAAAUUAACGAGUCAAGUUAGUCCAUCUCAAUCAGGAAGAACUGAAUGAAUUGAGACUGAUAGGAAAACAGGAAUAACGACGAAACAUUGCUCAUUGCUUAGGCAAGGUACUCAAUUCAUAAUAAAACAUUGAGAUAGGGUAGCAAAACUUUGGUUCAGCUGCAAACCAACCAGCAUAACAUCCAACACUGACACUAAGUAUCAGUCUCCUACAAGGUUAACAUUAACAUUCUGACAUCAUGACUGGUUUCCUCUGCCCUGAUGAUAACAAUGUCACACCACUUAGUCGAACAGGCUGAAGCCCAUGUCCUGCAAAUAAAUAUUCAACAGCAUUAAGUAGCUGAGCUCAGUUUAAUAGAGCAGUGUUAUUAGGAUUGGUGCCUAAAAUAAAACUAAACCAUGAUGGCGUUUGUAGUGAAAUCACAAACUAACAUGAAAUAAGGUAUUUGCUUAUGAGAAAACAUAGAGAACAAUGCUGUGUUAUCUUACAUCAUCACUCUCUUCCUUCUCUUCCACCUUCUCUUCCUUCUUCUCAGCUGCAGGAGCAGCACCACCAGCAGCAGCAGGGGCAGCUGCUGCAACAGCAACACCACCACCACCGCAUGGGACAGAAGCAAACUUCUCCCUACCGG
rnacentral:lncRNA from 1 species